UGGGCUGUCGCCAAGCGGUAAGGCAACGGGUUUUGAUCCCGUCAUUCGCAGGUUCAAAUCCUGCCAGCCCAG
rnacentral:tRNA from 1 species